AUUGAACGCUGGCGGCAGGCCUAACACAUGCAAGUCGAACGAGUGGCGGACGGGUGAGUAAUGUCUGGGAAACUGCCUGAUGGAGGGGGAUAACUACUGGAAACGGUAGCUAAUACCGCAUACCAGCAGCUGUGCCGAGAUGGGAUUCGCUAGUUGGUGGGGUAACGGCGCACCAAGGCGACGAUCCCUAGCUGGUCUGAGAGGAUGACCAGCCACACUGGAACUGAGACACGUUCCAGACUCCUACGGGAGGCAGCAGUGGGGAAUAUUGCAAAAUGGGCGCAAGCCUGAUGCAGCCAUGCCGCGUGUAUGAAGAAGGCCUUCGGUUUGUAAAGUACUUUCAGCGGGGAGGCGUUACCCGCAGAAGAAGCACCGGCUAACUCCGUGCCAGCAGCCGCGGCAAUAC
rnacentral:rRNA from 1 species